GCGCACAGAAAACAACGUCUGCGAGUGAAAUGACCGAUUUUAGAGUUAAAACAGUGUGCCACGGCGCAGUAUCGUUUGGGGCAUGAUGACGGGUGCUGGUGGAAGGCUGUUCUCCCACGCGAUCCAACACCAUCUGCGCCGGCCGCGGUGGCCGAGCGGUUCUAGGCGCUGCAGUCCGGAACCGCGCGUCUUCUACGGUCGCAGGUUCAAAUCCUGCCUCGGGCAUGGAGCGCCGGCACGAAGAUGAAGAACGCAAGAGCAGAGAAGGCUGUGGGACGACGUCAGACAAUAGCCUGCUGACUAGGACCGCACCACGGCAGGAG